GUUCUGUCAAGUUGCUGUCUUUAAACUCUGCUCUUAUUAAAUACAACUUGAAUGGCUGUAGCUUUAAAAGCGAGCACAUUCAACGCUUAUUCAAAUAUUGAUUGCAAUUUGUUUGGUUUUUGGUGUAAAGGCACAACAGAUUUUGAGCUGAAACGCCAACAAUCUGGCAAAUGACGCGCGAAUCGUGCGAAAUUCGGUAUUCUGCGGGGGACAUGCAAAAUGUAAAAGACUUCAAAAAUGCUGCACCACUGAAAUUGAGGUCUUGCCCUGACCCGUUUCCGCAAAUGUCAAUUCCGGGCCACGCUGCUCAAUGGGCACCGGGGUGGUGCCCAUGUGACCACCGCCACCGCCGCCCAUGUGUCCGCCACCGUAACCCACCGGCAGCUGGGCGGGACUCUGCGUGUAGCUGGCCAGCGAGGACUCUGUGGUGCUCGGCUCACGUGU